CCCUUAGAUGUUCUGGGCCGCACACGCGCUACACUGAGGGAGGCAGCGUGUACUCCUGGAUCGAAAGAUUUGGGUAACCCGCGAAUCUCCUUCGUGCUAGGGAUUGAGGUUUGCAAUUAUCCUUCAUGAACGAGGAAUUCCCAGUAAGUGCAAGUCAUAAGCUUGCGCUGACUACAUCCCUGCCCUUUGUACACACCGCCCGUCGCUACUACCGAUUGAAUGAUUUAGUGAGGACUUCGGACUGGGACCGAUGCGGCUUUCGGGCUGCGUCGGUAUUCUGGAAAGAUGUCCAAACUGUAUCAUUUAGAGGAAGUAAAAGUCGUANCA
rnacentral:rRNA from 1 species